AUGGCAGCUUCCACCUCGCCGUGCUGCUGGCAGGACUGCGCCUCGUGGCACCCUGGGCACUCCCAAGCAGGUGAGACAGCAAGAAGAGAGGUCUUGUCACUGCUGCCGAUGUGCAUCAUGGCUGUGUGCUUUGUAGAAGAACUGAAGGUGAAUGCUGCACAGCUUGGAGCAACAACAAGCAACUUGAAGGCGUCGUGGCAAACUGGUGGUUCUCAUCCAUCUCUGUGUGAACAGAUCGUUGCUUAUGAAGUUGUUUUAGCAUGCUCUGUUGAGCCAUACGCUUACCUACAUCAGAGAGUGGAACAGAGCUGUGGCGAGACGUUUUGGAGGCUGGCAUCAACCGAGGGAAGGAUUAAGAAGAAUACUGACUAG
rnacentral:lncRNA from 1 species